AGCUGGUUUAAGGUAUAAACCUAAAAAUAAGCAAAAGCUCCUUAGUAAUUUCUUUGUAAAAGCAGGGGAAAGCAAAACUAAGAAAAUAACCUAUUUUUGCUGUGGAACAAUAGGACAUAAAGCUAAUGUGUGUGAUCAUAGAAAAGGAAAAGCUAAAGAAAAAAUUAAAAGGGUUUGGGUUCCAAAAGGAACCAACAUUACUAACCAUGAAGGACCCAAGAAAACUUGGGUACCUAAAAU
rnacentral:lncRNA from 1 species